AAGUCGUAACAAGGUUUCCGUAGGUGAACCUGCGGAAGGAUCAUUAACACGUAUCCAACUUCAUCCUGCUCUUGUAACCCGCGUAGUUCGCAAUCUCUGAUAAAUCAUAGCCCGGAAAGUUGUAGUGAUUCAGAGACCUCUAGUUACAAUCGAGCGGUAGUUCUAUAGGCAAUGUUUCUCCAAGCAGUCAGUGUCGGAAAGUGUCAUUGAUUGUGCAAGGAUAGCGCUUCUACGAUUCCUGUAGACCGUACACUCGGGCAGGAGCUUUGCCAAAGGGUCCCCAUGCCCCCUAAUAACCCCACAGUUUAAUGUGAAGCUCAAUGUAAUACAUUGGGUAAAAAAACCGAACAACUGUUAACAAUGGAUAUCUUGGUUCUC
rnacentral:misc_RNA from 1 species